ensembl:lncRNA
CAGUUCUCUUCCAUCUCCAAAUAUCUGUUGGUGCUCCAGACAUUUUCAUUCCGCAAACCAGCCGAUGAAAUGGAUGAAACACAUCGUGAGUUCUGACGGCAUUGUAUCGGCUGUGGUUGGACAUCAUUACAUGUUAAGAUGUGGAAGAAUCCUCCUGUCCGAAAUAAAUGUCAGUUUAAACACAAAGAACAAGUUGAGCUUCAUUAAGACUCGAGGGGAGUAACAAUGAUCACUGUUCUGGCAGCAUUUUGAGUGGGAACAGCUCAAAGUUAUUUACUGAUUGAAACAAGCUGAAUGUUUCUGUGCACGAUGAUGAAGAUCAGCAGCAGCAGCUCAGCUGAUCAAUGAACUGACAUCUGUCAGUCGUUUCAUGAGAUGAAGUCAUCAGCAGACAUUUGUUCUAACUGUGUGAUGAAUGUCAGAACGUCAGGGCUCUGCUUUAGUCACUGCUUGAUGAUCAUUGGCUCAUUGUUGAAUCCAGUGGCCCAGUCUGACCUCUGACCCUUUGCUGCAUGUCUUCUGUGUUAUCUCCACUUUCAUGUUUGAUCUUCUGCUGUAUCGUCCAAAAUAAACAUCUGAAUCAUUUCCAACACUUCAGCAG